UACGUAGGGAGCAAGCGUUGUUCGGAUUUACUGGGCGUAAAGGGCGCGUAGGCGGCGCGGUAAGUCACUUGUGAAAUCUCUGAGCUUAACUCAGAACGGCCAAGUGAUACUGCAGUGCUAGAGUGCGGAAGGGGCAACUGGAAUUCUUGGUGUAGCGGUGAAAUGCGUAGAUAUCAAGAGGAACACCUGCGGCGAAGGCGGGUUGCUGGGCCGACACUGACGCUGAGGCGCGAAAGCUAGGGGAGCAAAUGGG
rnacentral:rRNA from 1 species